GUGCUCGCUUUGGCAGCACAUAUACUAAAAUUGGAAUAAUACAGAGAAGAUUAGCAAGGCCCCUGCACAAGGAUGACAUGCAAAAUAAAAAUAAAAAUAAAAAAAUA